ACAUUGGUGGCUCAGUGGUAGAAUUCGUGUGCUCCGUGCAGGAGACCUGGGUUCGAUUCCCAGCCAGUGUA
rnacentral:tRNA from 1 species